CUUAUUUUCUUCAAUUCCACAUAUUCAACACUUUCUUCUUCUAUUUCACUCACCUGGGGAGCUUCUCCCAUGUGAAAAUAGAAACCCCUUUUGUUAAAAAAGGAUUUUUUUUUUGAAAUCUUGAAAUUGCUACUGUUUUGGGGGUUCUUUGGUUUUUUGGGGUUGUUGAGUUGGGAACUGAAAUGGGUGUUGUUUGAAUUUGUUGUUAAUUGGUUUAAGCAAUGAAGAACACAAUGAAAAGUAGAGGAGGAGGCGAAUCAGCUGGAAAAGGUGUUUUUUCUAGGAAAUUGACUGUUCUUCUGUGUAUUGGAUGCUUUUGUGUUGGGAUGCUCUUCACUGACAGGAUGUGGACAGUGCCAGAAGCUAAAGGCAUAACAAGGACAACACAGAUUGAUGAUCAAAAGCUAGGGGUAGUUUCUGAGGACUGUGAUCCUACCAAUAAGGAUGUGAAAAGUGAAUCCAAGGAUAAUUUCGGUGAAGUUACAAAAACACAUCAUGCUAUACAAACCCUGGAUAAAACAAUUUCAAACUUAGAGAUGGAACUAGCUGCAGCAAGGGCUUUGCAAGAUUCUAUACUGAGUGGGUCUCCAAUAACAGAAGACAUAAAGAUCCCCGAAUUGGCGAAGAAGAGAAAAUAUCGAAUGGUCAUAGGGAUAAACACUGCCUUCAACAGCCGAAAGAGAAGAGACUCAGUUCGUGCUACUUGGAUGCCACAAGGUGAUAAGCGAAAGAAGCUAGAGGAAGAAAAAGGCAUUGUAAUUCGUUUUGUAAUAGGUCACAGUGCAACAUCAGGUGGCAUUCUUGAUAGAGCAAUUGAAGCGGAAGACAAGAAGCAUGGUGAUUUCUUGAGGCUGGAACAUGUUGAGGGAUAUCUGGAAUUAUCUGCUAAGACAAAGACAUAUUUUACUACUGCUGUUGCUCUAUGGGAUGCUGAUUUCUAUAUUAAAGUUGAUGAUGAUGUACAUGUAAACAUAGGUGCACUGGGAGCAACUCUAGCUAGGCAUCAUUCGAAACCUCGGGUAUAUAUUGGUUGCAUGAAAUCUGGUCCAGUCCUUGCUCAAAAG
rnacentral:misc_RNA from 1 species